rnacentral:piRNA from 1 species
UCUCAGUAGGAUCUUCUCCGCCUUCUUC